GGAAGGAUCAUUAACACAUUGUCCAUUUGAUGGUUGUUAAUAAGAGUAUUUUUGUGAAUUUAUUCACAUUGAUUUCUUUUAACAAUCAUUCAAACCUUUUAGCAAAUUCGUUGAAGUCCUCAACAAUUACAAUCUUUAACGUUUGUUUAUUGUGACAGAGUGUAUUUCAAAGAGUGAUAUCAAGAUCAAUCAAAUAUGAAAGUAUUUGAUUAUUGACUGAUGUUUACAAUAUAAAUAUAAAACCAAGACAACUUGUAACAGUGGAUACCUUGGUUCCCAGGUCGAUGAAGAGCGCAGCGAACUGCGAUAAGUCAUGUGAAUUGCAGAAUUCCGUGAAUCAUCGAACUCUUGAACGCAAAUUGCACUUGUGUGUUGAACAUAAGUGUGCCUGCUCGAGUGUCGGCAAUAAAUCCUCGCUUCUAGAAGUGAUAUUGAAGGUUCAAUUUCUAUUGAUCCUUUUAAAGAGAUGGUCAUAUUGAUUUGUCAAUCAUUCACAUAUUCUUUGAAGGUGAUUUGAUGAGAAUCAUAUAAAACAACAAAACAAUUAAGUGUUUCUAACACUCUUUUUGUUCUGUUGUGAUUUUCAUUAAUGCUUUAGGAAAUAGUUUAUGUUUUAUCAAUAACCAGUAUCUGAGUAAUUCAUCUUACAAAGAUAACUUUCUAAAAUCUCGACCUCGAAUUAGGCAAGAUCACCCGGUGGACUUAAGCAUAUUAUUAACCGGAGGAAAAGAAACUAACAAGGAUGCCCUUAGUAACGGCGAGUGAAGCGGGCAAAGCUCAAAUUUAAAAUCUGAGAGUCUUAUGAUUCUCCGAAUUGUAGUUUUUGGAUUGUUACUCACGGGGCUGCAAGUUGUGGGAGUAAGUUCUUUGGAACAAGGCGUCAAAGAGGGUGAGAACCCCGUUAGCGUCUCCGCUUGCAGUUCAAUAGGUGUGUAGCUUUUCACGAGUCGGGUUGUUUGGGAUUGCAGCCCUAAAUAGGUGGUAGAUCUCAUCUAAAGCUAAAUAUUCCUGGGAGACCGAUAGCGAAGAAGUAGUGUGAACGAAAGGUGAAAAGAACUUUGAAAAGAAGGUGAAAAGUACUUGAAGCUGUUCCAAGGGAACCGUAUGGAGCCAGUGACGGCUUGUGGGCAAUUCAAUGUGCGCUUGGCAGAGGGUGCUGGACACACAAAGGUGUAUGCCUUGGAGUGCUGGGCCUCGAGUUAAGUGCGCGUGUACUUUGCUUAUGAGCGAGUCAACAUCAGUUUGCUGGCAACGGAGAAAGGUAGAGGGAAGAUAGGUUGGCCUCUCGGGGUCCUCUGUUAUAGCCCUCUAUUGCAUACGUUGCUGUGGACUGAGGAAACAAAACGCAUGCCUCGGCGAGGUAGUUGGUGGACCCGAUGGUUGUGAGUGUGUACGUCUGCUUGCAGGGUGCGUGCUCGAUGACUGCGGCAUAAGCUGGCCUAUCCUGUGCGUUAGGGAUGUUGACGAAAUGGUUUCAUUCGACCCGUCUUGAAACACGGACCAAGGAGUCUAACAUGUAUGCGAGUGUUUGGGUGAGCAAAACCCGAGCGCGCAACGAAAGUGAGAGAUGCGAGUUCGAAAGGAUGCAGCAUCGACCGACUGCUUUUAGGAGCGGAUCGCGUCGGAGCACACAUGAUGGGACCCGAAAGAUGGUGAACUUUGCGUGCGCAGGGUGAAGCCAGAGGAAACUCUGGUGGAGGCUCGUAGAGAUACUGACGUGCAAAUCGUUCUUCUGACGUGCGUAAAGGGGCGAAAGACUAAUCGAACCAUCUAGUAGCUGGUUUACAC
rnacentral:misc_RNA from 1 species